UAAGCUUCUCUGCCUUUUGGAUAAGAUCAAGUGUAGUAUCUGUUAUUAUCAAUCUAAUAUCUGAUACGUCAUCCAGCGGGGGACUACAUAUUAAGCGGAUUUUUCCACACAUCGACCCAGUAUUGCAGUGCCUCUGUGAGUGGUAAAAGGGGA
ensembl:snRNA U2 U2 spliceosomal RNA